UCUAAAGCAGCUCUGCUAGCAUCAGGGCUAAUACUUUCAUUUCUUCAAACAAUGGUGACAUUUUUGUCUUGCUGAAGGUAAAUAAUCAGACAUUUGGAGGUGCCGAGUGUGAGAGUGUGUUUUAUAAUAAUAUCACCCAUGAGGAUAUGGAGUAGGCUCUGCAUCUAUCUCAUGAAGCUUGGUGGUGGAGAAGAGAUUGUUUAGGACAAUUCUCUAGAACACAGGCAUUGGUUUUGUUUAGCUUUUGCCUAGGGAAAACUCUACAUUGAGUUUUAAAGAUCCAGCCUCUUCCAAAUCUUCCCCCACACCCACAAUCAGACUGAAGCACAAAGAUAUUCUUACCUCUCUGUAUCAUUUUGUCAAUCCCAUUUUAGAGAGAAUCAAUGAUAGUCGCAGAAAAGCAGAGAUUUAGCCUUUGUCUCUCCAUUUGUUUCUUAAAAUAAAAACACCUUGAGUGUCAACAAGGUUUUUACUGAAAACAUUUAACUACUUUCAGCCACUAAUAAAAGAGAACAACAUUGAUUUCUCAGAAUACUGUACAAAGAUUAGCAUGGCACAUAUAUUUGGCUUUGUUGAUCAUCUGUACUAUAAUUACUGCUUUAAAAUAUGCUGUUUUAAAUAAGCCACAAUAAAUGAGGGCAUAGUUCCAGACACCAGGAAGAAAUCUACCAAACUAAAUAAAAUCUGUUUGCUUUUUUAAACAGUCUAAUAUGAAACUAAUUUUUUUUAACCACAUAUCUCAAGGAAAGCAGUAAAAGUGUGGACUUGCAACUCUUAAUUCAAGUUUUGCAUUCUACAGACACCCAGUCUGCCCUCUGUGACUUGUGCAAUAGCUAUUUCUCUGGGGAUUAACACUGUUAUUCCCACUCACCUGAACAAUGUCAUAACAAUGAUGGUAUGUUCCUGAAUUAGCUAGAACCUUGGAAAGAUGGAUGAGAAAUCGCAUUUUCUAGCCACAGUAGCUUACCAGAAAUAUAAAAGUUCAAAAAAAUCACUUAAAAAUGUAUUCUAAUACCAUAUGCAUCUCUCUUUUUUUUUAAGAGACUGGGUCUCGCUCUGUCAUCCAGGCUGCCUUGAACUCCUGGGCUCAAGUGGCAGUCAUCUUGCCUUUAAGGGUUAUCUUCCAUUUAAUAUUUCUAGCCCUUUGUUUUCUCUAGUCACUUUAAAGGGAAAGUGAACUUUCCUAAAGUGUCUAUGUACUCACCUUUUCUUCAUUCUGAAGGAAAAAAACUCAAUGAAAAUGACGUUCACUGCCUUUUUCUUAUCACCUAAGUCUCACUGGAAAUCAGAAUGAACCUUUCUUCCUUUCCCUGGUCUUAUCUAGGUGGAUUGGAUGUCUUUAGAAGGAACCUGACUUAAUUCUGUCUUUGAUAACUACCAUGCUUAUACCUGAGCUUAACAAUCACAAGGAUAGUGAUGAUCCAUCCACCUGCAUGGGAAGUAAUG
rnacentral:lncRNA from 1 species